rnacentral:rRNA from 1 species
UGCCAGCCGCCGCGGUAAUACGAAGGGGGCGAGCGUUGUUCGGAAUCACUGGGCGUAAAGCGCACGUAGGCGGAUCGUUAAGUCAGGGGUGAAAUCCCGAGGCUCAACCUCGGAACUGCCUUUGAUACUGGCGAUCUUUGAGUCCGGGAGAGGGAAGCGGAAUUCCUGGUGUAGAGGUGAAAUUCGUAGAUAUCAGGAGGAACACCUGCGGCGAAAGCGGCUUUCUGGCCCGAUACUGACGCUCAUGUACGAAAGCGUGGGGAGCAAACAGGAUUAGAUA